GAAUGUGAGGGCAGCCUGGCUGUGAUAUCUGUCACUCCAUUGAUAGACAGGACUGAUUGAGCUGAUCUGGCUGGCUAGACAGGUGUCCCCUCCCUCCCUCCCAGGUAUAUCCCUUCUGAAGCUGGAUGCUUAGUAGAAGAGCAUAACCUUCCGCAGCAGUGCUUCAUGCACUGUAGUCCAUUCUUCAGUCAAGGAUAUACAAGUAGCUGUGCUCCCUUGCUACAACCUCCAAACAAGCGCUCAAGGUCCAUUUACAGGAACAUGCAGGAUAGUCAAGCUCUUAAGAAUCCAGUCACUGAU
ensembl:misc_RNA 7SK 7SK RNA